GAUGAACGCUGGCGGCGUGCCUAAUACAUGCAAGUCGAGCGAACAGACGAGGAGCUUGCUCCUCUGACGUUAGCGGCGGACGGGUGAGUAACACGUGGAUAACCUACCUAUAAGACUGGGAUAACUUCGGGAAACCGGAGCUAAUACCGGAUAAUAUAUUGAACCGCAUGGUUCAAUAGUGAAAGACGGUUUUGCUGUCACUUAUAGAUGGAUCCGCGCCGCAUUAGCUAGUUGGUAAGGUAACGGCUUACCAAGGCAACGAUGCGUAGCCGACCCGAGAGGGUGAUCCGCCACACUGGAACUGAGACACGGUCCCGACUCCGACGGGAGGCAACAGCAGGGAAUCUUCCGCAAUGGGCGAAAGCCUGACGGAGCAACGCCGCGUGAGUCAUGAAGGUCUUAGGAUCCUAAAACUCUGUUAUUAGGGAAGUACAAAUGUGCAAGUACCUAUGCACGUCUUGACGGUACCUAAUCAGAAAGCCACGGCUAACUACGUG
rnacentral:rRNA from 1 species